ACGAACGCUGGCGGCGCGCUUAACACAUGCAAGUCGAACGGAAAGGCCUGCUUUCCCUUGUGGAUUGCGGGUACUCGAGUGGCGAACGGGUGAGUAGCACGUGAGUGAUCUGCCCCCAACUUGGGUAUAAGCCUGGGAAACUGGGUCUAAUUCCCGAUAGGACUGCAGGGUGGUGCCUGUGGUGGAAAACGAUUUUCUAGUGGUUGGGGAUGAGCUCGCGGCCUAUCAGCUUGUUGGUGGGGUAAUGGCCUACCAAGGCGGCGACGGGUAGCCGGCCUGAGAGGGUGGACGGCCACAUUGGGACUGAGAUACGGCCCAGACUCCUACGGGAGGCAGCAGUGGGGAAUAUGGCACAAUGGGCGGAAGCCUGAUGCAGCGACGCCGCGUGGGGGAUGACGGCCUUCGGGUUGUAAACUCCUUUCGACCGCGAGGAAGCCACCUGGUUGGAAGGGUGGUGACGGUAGUGGUAGAAGAAGCACCGGCUAACUACGUG
rnacentral:rRNA from 1 species